rnacentral:tRNA from 1 species
GGUGCUUUGGUUAGUUGGUUAUCAUGUCGAUCUUUUAAUUUAAGGAUCCCUAGUUCGAACCUUGGAAGCAUCA